UACAGAGGAGCCAAGCGUUGUCCGGAUUGACUGGGCGUAAAGAGCGCGCAGGCGGCUGGUCAAGUCCGAUGUGAAAGCUCCCGGCUUAACUGGGAAAUUGCAUCGGAAACUGAUCGGCUGGAAGGUGGGAGAGGGUAGCGGAAUUCCCGGUGUAGUGGUGAAAUGCGUAGAUAUCGGGAGGAACACCAGUGGCGAAAGCGGCUACCUGGCCCAUUCUUGACGCUGAGGCGCGAAAGCUAGGGAGCAAAGCGGGAUUGAGAUACCCGUAGUAAG
rnacentral:rRNA from 1 species